UUUUCCUUUCCAACAAACCCUAAUCGCUACCAAUUUCACCAUCAUCAGUGGCUUUUUUUGAGCACUGAACUCGUCGAUGAAUCUCCUAAGGCUAUCCCUUGAUUUCGAUAAGCUCAACCUCAACCUUUUCACUCCAUCUAGAAACAUAAACCCAAACUCAUUGAAGAUGAGAUGGCUAAACGAGUAAAGCAAGUCUAGGGUGUGAAACCAACAGUGUGUUAUGGAAUGCAAUUGUAACUAUCAUUUCAUAUUUCUAUUAAUUAUUGUUAUUUCCUUUUAUUGUAAUAUGUUACGUUUUAGUACUGUUUUAAUAGUACAGUGUAUUUUGUAUUUAAAGGGGGAAUCAACGAUUGCUUAAACGAUUCAUUUUGGGAGAAAACACCGUUUAAUGAAACGGUGUAGUUUUGGCAAUGGUUAUUCUACCAACUGUUACGAUCCGUUAUUCUGCCUCUAGGGAGAGCAGAGGUAGUUAUGAAAUUUGACAACCAGAUUCAGUUUUCUUCUCUCUAAACUUUUCUCUCGCUUCUCUCUUUCUUAGCUUUUCCUCUCUUUAAUUUCUUCUUUCAAAAUCACAUUGCAACAAACUUAUUAGAGCUUCGUCGAUUAUCAUGGUUACUGAGGGCAUUACAACCAGGCUUCAAAAAGAUAUGGCGCUAAAACAGAAUGAGCUUACACUGCUACAAGCAAAGUUCAAUCACUUGGACACAAUGAUUGAUGCACAUCUUAAGGAUUUCCAGGAAGGGAUUAAAAAUAAGGUCUGUUCUGGGCUUCAUUCAAAGAUCCACUCUCUGUUUGAGCAGUACUUUGACCAAAUUCCUACUAUUGUGGUUAUUGGUUUGGUUUCAAACAAAGGAAAGGGAAUUUAAGGCAAGAGCCUUCCAGGAUUUUCAUCAAGGAAACAGUUGAUUGUGUCUUCCAUACCAGAUCUGAGACAUACUAGUGCAUCUUCUAGUCCAACGUAGCACCGGAAACUUUAUCGAAAAAGGGGAAGGAAAAAGUGAACGAGGAUAUCGAAUAAACUCGAGAAUUUCGGAUUAGGUACGAAAGAAAAUUAAGGACUCAGUAUCCAAGCCAAUCUCGGACUCAAAGUGGUGAAUACUUUUCUUUUGGUAAAAUGGCAUGUACCUAGGUUGUUAAGGUGUUAUUUUGUACAUGAUAGUGAAUAAACAUGAAAGUUAUUGAAGCAUGGUAUGAAAUAUGCAUAUUUUGGAAGUUAAACUUACAUGAGUUUGAUUAGUAUGAUAAUGUAGUAUAAUUUUGAUGAAUUGUGGUAUAUAA